ACUCCUACGGGAGGCAGCAGUGGGGAAUAUUGCACAAUGGGGGAAACCCUGAUGCAGCCAUGCCGCGUGUGUGAAGAAGGCCUUCGGUUGUAAAGCACUUUCAGUAGGGAGGAAGGUAGUGUAGUUAACACCUGCAUUAUUUGACGUUACCUACAGAAGAAGCACCGGCUAACUCCGUGCCACGCAGCCGCGGUAAUACGGAGGGUGCGAGCGUUAAUCGGAAUUACUGGGCGUAAAGCGCAUGCAGGCGGCCUGUUAAGUCAGAUGUGAAAGCCCGGGGCUUAACCUCGGAAUUGCAUUUGAAACUGGCAGGCUAGAGUCUUGUAGAGGGGGGUAGAAUUUCAGGUGUAGCGGUGAAAUGCGUAGAGAUCUGAAGGAAUACCAGUGGCGAAGGCGGCCCCCUGGACAAAGACUGACGCUCAGAUGCGAAAGCGUGGGGGAGC
rnacentral:rRNA from 1 species